rnacentral:lncRNA from 1 species
GGUCUGAUUGUUAUGGAAUAAAAACAAACAAUUAAAAAUUAAAAUAGAACCACAGCACUGCUGAGGAACAGCCUGUUGGUAAACAGCAGCAGCUAAAGGCAGAAGAUGCAGUGUCUGUUUUUCCUUCCCUAACCUAAGCACUGCACGCAUGCGAGGCCAGCACUUUUUGGUGGUGGGUCUGUGGGUAACCACCUCCCUUUCCAUACACCCCCUCUCUGCCACAAAGGAAACCAGAGACUGUUGGGUCUGUUUUCUAAUAGAGCUCACACUUUUAAAGCACUUCAGAUAAUUGGUUUUCCCAAGCCUGAUUCUGUGUCACUGUUGGCCAGCCCUCUAUGUUUUCCAUGCCUGUUCCCCCACCUCUUUGGAACCUUCUCUUGUCAACUCCUCCUUCUUCCUGUCCUUAGCACCCACCUUUCCUCACUCCCUUCCUUCCUAACAUGAACUCUAUGGUUCAUCCUUUCAAUCUUUCCCUUGCAAAUGUAGUAAAACCCCCAUGAUGGUACCUCCUGUUGCAGUGCGAAGUUAGCAGCCUGUAAUUGGUGUUUGGCUCCCACCUUCCACCCAGUCCCUAUCCUCAUUUCACUAACCUAGUUAUAACAAGGCUCUCCAUUUUAUGCAAUUCAGUUUUUGGAUCUCACAUAUAAUGUUGUGGUGGGGUUUGACUCUACCAUCAGCUCCUUUUUCCUGUGCUCUUUCAUCAUAUCUGAAUGACUCACUGUUCAUCUUCUCA